AACGACUCUCGGCAACGGAUAUCUCGGCUCUCGCAUCGAUGAAGAACGUAGCGAAAUGCGAUACUUGGUGUGAAUUGCAGAAUCCCGUGAACCAUCGAGUCUUUGAACGCAAGUUGCGCCCUAAGCUGUUAGGCUGAGGGCACGUCUGCCUGGGUGUCACGC
rnacentral:rRNA from 1 species